rnacentral:rRNA from 1 species
AUUGAGCGCUGGCGGCAUGCCUUACACAUGCAAGUCGAACGGCAGCAUGGAGAGCUUGCUCUCUGAUGGCGAGUGGCGAACGGGUGAGUAAUGCAUCGGAACGUACCGUGUAAUGGGGGAUAACGUAGCGAAAGUUACGCUAAUACCGCAUACGACCUGAGGGUGAAAGCAGGGGAUCGCAAGACCUUGCGUUAUACGAGCGGCCGAUGUCAGAUUAGCUAGUUGGUGAGGUAAAGGCUCACCAAGGCGACGAUCUGUAGCGGGUCUGAGAGGAUGAUCCGCCACACUGGGACUGAGACACGGCCCAGACUCCUACGGGAGGCAGCAGUGGGGAAUUUUGGAUAAUGGGGGCAACCCUGAUCCAGCCAUGCCGCGUGAGUGAAGAAGGCCUUCGGGUCGUAAAGCUCUUUCGGCCGGGAAGAAAUCGCACAGGCUAAUACUCUGUGUGGAUGACGGUACCGGCAUAAGAAGCACCGGCUAACUACGUGCCAGCCGCCGCAGUAA